rnacentral:rRNA from 1 species
AGAGUUUGAUUCUGGCUCAGGACGAACGCUGGCGGCGUGCUUAACACAUGCAAGUCGAACGGACGUAGAAAUACGUUAGUGGCGGACGGGUGAGUAACGCGUGAGCAAUCUGCCUCUAUCAUCGGGAUAACACACGGAAACGAGUGCUAAUACCGAAUAAGACCACAUACCGGCAUCGGAGAGGGGUCAAAGAUUUUAUCGGAUAGAGAUGAGCUCGCGUCCCAUUAGCUAGUUGGUAGGGUAACGGCUUACCAAGGCGACGAUGGGUAGCCGACCUGAGAGGGUGAUCGGCCACACUGGAACUGAGAUACGGUCCAGACUCCUACGGGAGGCAGCAGUGGGGAAUAUUGGGCAAUGGAGGCAACUCUGACCCAGCAACGCCGCGUGAAGGAUGAAGGUUUUCGGAUUGUAAACUUCUGUCGCGAGGGACGAAGAAUGACGGUACCUCGUAAGAAAGCCCCGGCUAACUACGUGCCAGCAGCCGCGGUAAUACGUAGGGGGCAAGCGUUGUCCGGAAUGACUGGGCGUAAAGGGAGUGUAGGCGGCAUAGCAAGUUAGAUGUGAAAGCCCGCAGCUUAACUGCGGAACUGCAUCUAAAACUGCUGAGCUUGAGUGCAGGAGAGGUAAGUGGAAUUCCUAGUGUAGCGGUGGAAUGCGUAGAUAUUAGGAGGAACAUCAGAGGCGAAGGCGACUUACUGGACUGUAACUGACGCUGAGGCUCGAAAGCGUGGGGAGCAAACAGGAUUAGAUACCCUGGUAGUCCACGC